rnacentral:ncRNA from 1 species
GCACCGGCUGGGAGUUAUACCGCAGUGACCCAUAGCUUUACAUCGGAGGAGAGCGACGUCAGAUGUAGAGACGGUGC